GUCACGCGCCCACACACAUCCCUCCACCCGCACACACACCCGCACGCACACGCCCCGCAGCUUCCUCGCCUCUUUGCCCAGCGCUGCGCCACGCAGCCAAGCAUCGUCUGCCGGCUGGGGCGCAGGAGCACCGGCUCUCACCUGCUCCCAGCAGGGCUCUCGCACCAGACGCACCGCUGAGCUUUGGCACCUGCUGUUCCCUCUGCCUGGACCACCCUUCCCAGCAUCGUUUCCCAGUCGUAGAUUGGCCACACCACCCAGCCUUGACUCCAGGCCAACUGUCGCAGACAUCUGGGUGACAACACAGCGUGGAGAGCCAGCUGCUUCGUCCUUGGGCCAGAGCACCAGCACAUGGUCCAGACUAUUGGCAAGUAGAACUCCGUGCCAGAGAGGUCCUGCAUGGAAUGCCGGACGGCGGCUCACUUUGCCUAAGUGGGCUCUGCCAGACAGCUGUUUCUCUUAAUUAAACACACACACACACACACACACACACACACACACACAAUUAAGUGAUGUGUUCCAGGCACCGUCCAUGGGUGUUCAUGUCUCUAACCUGUGCCCAGCCUCUUGCUGAGCAGUGCGGAUGCCAAGCUGAGAGGUCCCGCCAGCACACAGGGGCAGGGUGGUGGCAGUGUCAGGGUUUGACUAAUGGCCUCAAACCUGACCAAGAUAUGGCCCCAGCCUGGACUUCUUGCCUCCAGGAAAGUGGUUCUCUAAUGAAGCAGGAAAAAAAGCCUCUGCUCUCCCAGCAGCCUGGUGUCUUGGAGGUGGACACGGGUCUUCUCAGAGCACUGAACUCCCCUGGGACUCUCAGCCCCUCUCCUUGUCCCUGACCCCAUCCCCGGAUUCAGGAGGGUCCCAGGUAGUCAGGGACUCACCAACCACAGGUGGAGUGAAUUUGUUGCUUCUCACAUCUCCCAGUGAGCUCAGCUCAAACCUCAGCUCCUCUCCGCCUCCUCUCCCCAACCACACCCUACACAGCAGUCAAUGAGACCAUCAUUCCACAGCCUUGUCACCCGCCAGCUUAAAACCCUUUGCGCAUGCCCCAUGGCCCUCAGAAUAAACUCCGUCACUGGCUGGGCCUUGCCUGCCUUUCUGAGCCCAUUCCUCCUGAAUUCACCUUGAACUCCCCCUGCAUGGAGCCCUCACCAGGUAGAGAAGGAAGAAAGGGCAUUCUGGGAAGCUGGAACAGCUAGGCAAAUGUUCACAGAUGUGAGAGUCUGAGCAUUCAAAUAGGACACCUGGAGAGGGUGUGGUGGGCACGCGGAUGGGACUCUCCACAUCGCUCCACGGGACACGCCCACUCCAGAACCACUCAGGGUGUUGGUUAGUAUCACGUGGAACCGAAUCAGAAUUUCUAGAGCAGGGGUAGGCAACCUUCUUUCUGCCAAGGGCAAAUUGGAUAUUUAUCACAUCAUUCUCGGACCACACAAAAUUAUCAACAUAAAAAUUAGCCUGCUAUAUUUGGUCCAACAUUUAAUUAACUCACCCUAAUGCCUUGGCAGGGCCAGACCAAAUGAUAAGGCCCGCGGGCCGGACAGUCCCAGCCCUGCUCUAGAGGUUGAGGCUCAGGAGUUUGAGUUUUAACUUGGACACUGGCACGUUGGUGAAUGGCUGAUCAGUGUCAGGAACAAGGGGAGGUGAGAGCCUCCAGGGACAGUGCUGAGCCUUCUGAGGCCAGGCCUGCAUCUUGACUGAGUCUGUGCCUCUGGCACCUAUAAGGGCUUAGGCAGUGGUUCUCAACCUUCUGGCCCUUUAAAUACAGUUCCUCAUGUUGUGACCCAACCAUAAAAUUAUUUUCGUUGCUACUUCAUAACUGUAAUGUUGCUACUGUUAUGAAUCGUAAUGUAAAUAUCUGAUAUGCAGGAUGGUCUUAGGCGACCCCUGUGAAAGGGUCGUUCGACCACCAAAGGGGUCGUGACCCACAGGUUGAGAACCCCUGGCUUAGAGGCUGAGCACUGAGCCUGGAACACAUACAUACAUUGUACUUUAGGCAAGAUUCCUUGAGGCCAUCCAACUCCAACAAGCAGUGAAAACACAGGGAUCCAGUGAUGCAUUUAGCUGAACGGCUCAUGAGCACGUUCAGGCAAAGCUGGAUCCAGGGACUCAAUUGCCAUUCAUUCUCUCUCCCCACCCACCGCUCUCCAUGUCUUAGUUGUGCUUCUCUCGGUGGGUAGUCAGGGACAUUGGACAAUGAAAGGUCCAGAUAUAGUUGUCACCGCUUAGCACUGUCACUAAAAGAGAGAGAGAGGCCACUUGCAACACCCUUGCCAAACUUUAGUGAAGACGCUGGCUGAUUAGAGUCACAUUCCACUUCCUGAGACAAUCAGUUUGGCCAGGGAAGUGGUGGGGAAGACAGUGCUCUCAUUGGCCAGCCUCGGUCAUUGUCCACCCCUCGAUAUUGGGGAUGGUCACCAUAACUGCCCCCCAGUGAAGCCUGAUGGAGGGGGGAGGAGUGUCUUCUCCACGGGAUCUUGGGUAGUCAGGUGACAUCUAUCCACCUCACUUAUGCAUCAAGAUGUUCAUUAACCUCUUUAAUGUGUGGUCUAUAAACCUACCCACGCACACAAGGUCUGCCCUCUACUUAUCUACCCCUCCUCUCACCCCACACCCCGUUCAAUCCCCAUACCUACAUAGAUCCCCCCUGAAUUUUACACAGCCUCCCUCCCCUUCCUCUGUGCCAAAGCCAAAGUGUUAUCCUCAAAAUGUUCUCCACCAGCCAGCUACUCCAUCGCCAAGCCAGUGAAAUAAAUAAUUCUUUCCAUUUC